rnacentral:lncRNA from 1 species
UGUGCACAUUAUUUAUUUUAUUGGUUCUGUUCAACUAUGAUUUUUGCAAUUAAAAUAAAAAUAUAUUAGUGCCCCCACAGGCACAGACCAAGUGGUGGAGGAAUCAGGUACGUACAUACAAACAGUUCUUUCUCUAUAAUAUGAUGAUGUUUUGAACAAAUAUCUUUCUUUAUCUGGAAAUGAAAAUGAAAAAAAAGUUCAUCAUCGUAUUCGAUGCGCCCUUUACUUUUUUAAAGGAAACAUAGUAACUUUUUGGUUUUGUUCAGUGUUUGCUGCUGUUUUAAGGUUAAUAAUAAUAAGCUGGCUGGCAGUGUGUGCGUCAUUUUAAUUAAUAUAAGUAUGUAUGUAUGUAUUUGUGCCUCAUCUCAUCAAUCAGAAAUUUCAUAAUAGAAUGUGUGUGUAUCUUAACUGUGUUUCCAUGUGAACCUACUACUAAUACUUAAUUUUUAGUAGCAACGUGCACCUCUCUCUUUCUGCUAGUC